CUUGCGAUCACCGAAGUUAAGCAACCUCAAGCCUGUUCAGUACCUCGAUUGGCGACCCCUUGGGAAUGCUAGGUGCUGUAA